rnacentral:rRNA from 1 species
AUUGAACGCUGGCGGCAGGCCUAACACAUGCAAGUCGAGCGGAUGAAGGGAGCUUGCUCCUGGAUUCAGCGGCGGACGGGUGAGUAAUGCCUAGGAAUCUGCCUGGUAGUGGGGGAUAACGUCCGGAAACGGGCGCUAAUACCGCAUACGUCCUGAGGGAGAAAGUGGGGGAUCUUCGGACCUCACGCUAUCAGAUGAGCCUAGGUCGGAUUAGCUAAUUGAUGGGGUAAAGGCCUACCAAGGCGACGAUCCGUAACUGGUCUGAGAGGAUGAUCAGUCACACUGGAACUGAGACACGGUCCAGACUCCUACGGGAGGCAGCAGUGGGGAAUAUUGGACAAUGGGCGAAAGCCUGAUCCAGCCAUGCCGCGUGUGUGAAGAAGGUCUUCGGAUUGUAAAGCACUUUAAGUUGGGAGGAAGGGCAGUAAGUUAAUACCUUGCUGUUUUGACGUUACCAACAGAAUAAGCACCGGCUAACUUCGUG